rnacentral:misc_RNA from 1 species
UAAUAAGUGUUUAUGGCACUUCUUAAAUCCAUAUCCACCUUGUGUGCAAUGUCAGCCGUUUUCUUUAUGAAAGCGGCCAAACAUCAACUUAUUUUUAACUGUCUGUCUGAAAACUAUUAUGAAUAAACAAUUCAAAUA